UGUAGCCAACUGCUCUUUGUUCCUAAGCUCAGUGGGGUUUUGUAUUGCACAUGCGCGUUUCCCAGGCAGUUGAGGCGGUUUUCCUGCUAGGCAGGGGGCGUGGCUUGAUGACUCAUUUUGAUGAUACUAUUUCCAGGUAGUGUGGCUGGCUGGAGAGUGGCAUCUAUUUCUGAAGCAUCUCUGGAUCUGCUGCUCUUCAUUGCUUCACAUCACCUAUACUUCAGGGACCUUUGGCCAGUCACCAGGGUCCAGACCUCAGGACUAAACCCUGGGGUGGAUGCUCUAGACAUGGCUCUCCAUGAUAAAUGGGGCAUCUGUCACCAAUGAGGAUCAUGGUGCCGGGAAGCUGCUGGUCAGUGUCUCCUAGGCAGUCAUCAGAAACUACCUCCUGCAGUGCAUGGGAACAAUGAGGAGACCCAGAUCUAGACAAUGAGCUGAUAAUGAGAGACAUUAAAAACUCAGUCCUAGAUGGGAUGUCUCCACCAGAACUCUCCACUCAGGCCUCAGAGAACUCUUCAGAGGAGGAGGCAUAAAGAGUUGUCUUGUGGGGGUGCCAUUCUUCACCUGAAAAGGUAGAGGACAUGGCAGAGGAAUUAUCAUGGAGGGAUCUCAGCGAUGACAACUUACAACCAGAAUCCAUAAAACUAGGUUCAAGGUGGUCCAUCUCCACCCUGGUAAAAACUAUGUGUUCCCUUAGCCACAUGGCAGAGAACAACUUAGAAAUUCCUGGAACAAAGAGACUUUUUGAGACCCUCGCCAAAAAUGACAUACUAUAUGAGAGAAAAAGUACUUAUGUCAUUGGACAAAUGGGAAAUCAUCCAAAGAACUCCUCCACCAAGAGGCCUGCACAUCGUCUCAUUCUCCCUCCCUUUCCCUUAAAGAGGAGAUGGAGUGAGCUGGCUCUGCCGACGUUUGUGACAACAGAAGAAGGCAACCAAGGGCAGGAGGGUGAUGGUGUGAAGACAUUGGACACAUCUGAGGAGACAUCUGCCUCACUGGGUGUAACAUCAGAGAGGACACAUGUGGAGGCUGAGACUGAGGAGACUGGCCAUACCAUCACUUUCAGUCACACAACGCUGGAUGUCUUGUACUUCCUAGAGGACACCACAUGCCAGAAUUACCAUGGACCACCGGAUGAUGCUGGCAUUAUGGAGGAAACCACCAAUAUGGAUUUGAACGACAAUAUCAGCCAGAUGACAAGUGAUCUCAUGUUCACUGUUUCCCCUCCACAGCAUGGGAGCAGCCAAUAUGAAACAGUCAAAGACUUAAUAAGUAGGGAAUCACCAUCUACAUCUACCAAUGAACAGCCCCAGGAGGUACCCAUAGCCUCCAACAGGCACACGAGAAGGGGCUGGAAGGGCCUGAGGAGGCAGGCUCGGAACCUGUUUCGAAGGUUAUGUUUCUGUCUCCCCACCCCAAGGAGAGGAGACACAGCAUCCAGGUAAGGGAUAACAAGGAAUGGAAAUUGGAGUCCCAGGGAAAUGGAGCAGGUGAGGCCACUAAAUUCAUAUUUGUAUUUCCUUUUCAAAGGCACUUUGCCCCUGACAGGCUGCACCCAUUCAUAGAAGAUGAACCUCAAUGUGUCUGUGACCCUAGAAGCAGCUUUCCCACUGAAUCCUGCUCAUGAGAAGUCUAGAGAAGUUGAGCCAGGAGCAGACAGCAGAGGGUGUUACCAGGGGCUGGAGAUGCAGGUGGAGGGAGGAGGGCUUUGUGAAAGGGAGCAGAGUUUAGGUAGGGAAGAAUCCUGUAGAAAGCUGUUGUACCACAGGGCAGCUCUUUGCUAGGUCCUUCUAUGUCAAAGACACUAACAUUGCUUUGUUUGUGUCUUUUCAAGGGCGGAAGAUGAGGCCCAGGCCCGUGGUUCCUAAACCACAGGUCUGUGUUCGGCCUGGUGGGGCAUAACAGCCAUAGGAGGGAACCAGGCCAGAACGAGAAAGAGGAGGUUUGCCCCAAACCUCUUAUUAGCUGCCAGACACUGCCAGCAACCAGGGCACAAGCUCUGUAACCCUCCUCUCCUGCAGCGUAUGAGGCUUAACUUAACUGGUCCCAAGCACUAGUGGCUGGACAGAGAAGCCAGCCACAGAAUCAUCUGGUGAUGAAGAGGCAUCCAUCCUGCUCCACAGUCCACAUGAGAAAAGAACUCACACUGUGAAUAAACCACUAGGAGGAUAUGAGAACUCAUUUGCAUGACUAGCCCCUCUUCUAUUGUGAGGUCCCUGGAGAUGAGAUACUGAGACAGCCCAGACAGAAGAUUCUGGUCUAAGGAGAAGCUGUGCUGUGCCUACCAUGGCUUGGACUCCUCUCAUCUUCAUGAUUCUAUCUUACUGUACAGGUUCCUUUUCUCAGUCUAUACUGACACAACCACCGUCCAUCUCUGAGGCUCUUGGAUCAACAGCCAGACUCACCUGCAUCCUGAAGAGUGGUAUCAGUGUUGCUGGUAAAUACAUUUACUGGUAUAAGCAGAUGCAGGGGAGCUCUCCCCAGUUUUUUUCUGUACUACUACUCAGACUCAGACAGAAGCUGGGGCCUGGAGUCACCAAUAGAGUCUCUGGAUCCAAAGAUACCUCCAAAAAUGCUGCAAAUUUGCACAUCUCUGAGCUACAAGCAGAGGAUGAGGCUGACUAUUACUGUGCUAUCUGGUAAUGUGUCUCACAGUGAUACAGGCAGAUGGGGAAGUAAGGCAUAAAUUCUAGCUUGUGAUAAAAACAUCAGUUCUGUUUCUUCAUUACCUUGAAAUAUUUGUACACUAUUAAAAAAAGAUAAUGGAAAAAGUUCAUUCAGAAAUUUUGUCCCAUGUUUUCACCAAAUAAUAGAGAAAAAAAGAAUCAAACUAUCAAAGAAAACCCUCAGACCUACUGAGGGUAUAUUUGACAGCAAAUGCUGGUGAAGAUGAAGGGGAAGGAGAAUUUUCAUCCAGUGUUGUGAGCUUGCAAAGUGUAGCAGACGCUCUGGAAAUCAGUGUGGAAAAUUCUCCAAAGGUUAUGGUGAUAUUUUAUUUGUAUUAAAAUGUUAUUUGUAUGUUAAUAAAUAAAGUUGUCCAGGGGUCAGAGCUAUUAGCAAGCCAUAGGAAAGCAGGGCAGUGGUGGCGUACACUUGUAAUCCCAGCACUUGGUAGGCAGAGCUAGGUAAGUCUCUGUGUGUUCAGGGAUACAGCCAGUAUUGGAUACACAUGCCUUUAAUCUCAAUACCAAUCAUAGAAAACCUGGAGGUCUAUACAGACAGGCCGUGAUGAGGCAGUCAUGUGGUUGGGUUUACAACCAAUGAAAAGGCAGAACAGAAAUUUUAUAUAAGGACUUUAACACAGGGGUAGUUCUAGUUCAGAGAGGUAGGACCACCACAGGAGGAAGGGUAAGGUUUUAGCUCUUAGCUAUGACCUCUUGGCUUUCUUCUUUGCA